AUAUGUUUUUCUUUUUUAUCUGUCGCAAAUUUUGCACAUCUGACACCUAGAUGUCAGAUAACCCUGCAUAGUGGUCAUGGUCUUCGUUUCCAGAAAAACAGAAGACUACUCUAAGUGCCAUCACUUUUUUCACUUCAGGAAGCAGAGGAUGGACAUGAUCUUGGAGAUACAGUCAAAAUGUGACCAUCCCACCGGAGCAGCAGGCUGAGGCUACUCUCUGAGCUGCAGACUACCACCAUGCAUAAAUACCAGGAAGUGGCCCAGGUGAAGGUGGACGUCGGUAAACUCAAGUCUCAGAUUGUGGAGUCUCCAGAGGAGCUGAAGAGUCAGAUGGAGAAGAUGAGGGAGAACGUCAAGAACUCCAUCGUGAGUAGAGAAGAAAACAGGGCUGUCUCCAAAAGCUGGUGUUGAGAAAUGUGGUUAGACUGAUGUAUGCAACCAUUUCUUUCAUUCACAUGUAUAUGUUUUUGAUGGCAUUGAUUUCAGGAAGAAACAGAUAGGCGUGUGGUGGAGCUGCAGAACAUGGUGCAGAGUGUGACUCACAAGGAGCCUGAGAUCCAGCCCAUGUACAACCUGCUGCAGGACCUGGAGAGCAGCAUGAACAACAGCAAGCAGCGACAGGAGGACGUAUGAACAAUUGCUCUGAGUCCACAUCCACCUUAUGCAGCGUGUGCAAGUUUCAAGGGUUUGUCAGUUAGAGUGGUCCAUUUCCACUGAUGGAAGAAGUUAACAUUUCUGACGACACAACUCCUCAGAACUGUGGUUUAUAUAUUAUAUGUACCGUAAUUUUCGGACUAUAAGACGCACCUGAA
rnacentral:lncRNA from 1 species